rnacentral:rRNA from 1 species
UACGUAGGCAGCGAGCGUUGUUCGGAAUUACUGGGCGUAAAGAGUGUGUAGGCGGUGCUCUAAGUUCGGUGUGAAAUCUCCCGGCUUAACUGGGAGGGUGCAUUAGAAACUGGAAUGCUAGAGGAUGGGAGAGGUAAGCGGAAUUCCUGGUGUAGCGGUGAAAUGCGUAGAUAUCAGGAGGAACACCUGUGGUGUAGACAGCUUACUGGACCAUUUCUGACGCUGAGACACGAAAGCGUGGGUAGCAAACAGG